GGUUAAGCGACUAAGCGUACACGGUGGAUGCCCUGGCAGUCAGAGGCGAUGAAGGGCGUGCUAAUCUGCGAUAAGCGCCGGUAAGGUGAUAUGAACCGUUAUAACCGGCGAUACCCGAAUGGGGAAACCCAGUGUGAUUCGUCACACUAUCAUUAACUGAAUCCAUAGGUUAAUGAGGCGAACCGGGGGAACUGAAACAUCUAAGUACCCCGAGGAAAAGAAAUCAACCGAGAUUCCCCCAGUAGCGGCGAGCGAACGGGGAGGAGCCCAGAGCCUGAAUCAGCAUGUGUGUUAGUG
rnacentral:rRNA from 1 species